rnacentral:rRNA from 1 species
AACGAACGCUGGCGGCAUGCCUAACACAUGCAAGUCGAACGAGACCUUCGGGUCUAGUGGCGCACGGGUGCGUAACGCGUGGGAACCUGCCCUUAGGUUCGGAAUAACUCACCGAAAGGGGUGCUAAUACCGGAUAAUGUCUUCGGACCAAAGAUUUAUCGCCUUUGGAUGGGCCCGCGUUGGAUUAGCUAGUUGGUAGGGUAAAAGCCUACCAAGGCGACGAUCCAUAGCUGGUCUGAGAGGAUGAUCAGCCACACUGGGACUGCGACACGGCCCAGACUCCUACGGGAGGCAGCAGUGGGGAAUAUUGGACAAUGGGCGAAAGCCUGAUCCAGCAAUGCCGCGUGAGUGAUGAAGGCCUUAGGGUUGUAAAGCUCUUUUACCCGGGAUGAUAAUGACAGUACCGGGAGAAUAAGCUCCGGCUAACUCCGUG